AUGAGGGUCCCCGCUCAGCUCCUGGGGCUCCUGCUGCUCUGGCUCCCAGGAUCCACUGGCGAUAUUGUGAUGACCCAGACUCCACUCUUCCUGUCCAUCACCCUUGGAGAGCCAGCCUCCAUCUCCUGCAGGUCUAGUCAGAGCCUCUUUUAUAGUGAUGACCAAAACAUCUAUUUGGAUUGGUACCUGCAGAAGCCAGGCCAGUCUCCACAGCUCCUGAUCUAUUUUGUUUCCUACCGGGCCUCUGGAGUCCCAGACAGGUUCAGUGGCAGUGGAUCAGGCACUGAUUUCAUACUGAAAAUCAGCAGGUUGGAGGCUGAGGAUGUUGGGGUUUAUUACUGCAUGCAACGUAUAGAGUUUCCUUCCACAAUGGGCACCUUCCAGAGCCUCUUCAUUCCUAACUACUUUGGGCGCACAAGCCCCACAGACCCUCCGGUGUUGGCUGCCACAUCGUCCCUGGAGCAGCCACUAAAGUUUCCUGCUGUCCUCAUGGCUGCAGGGAUGCUCAGCCACGUCACUGGGAGGAGACCCUAG